rnacentral:lncRNA from 1 species
GGCGGCCUGAGGCGCUGGAAAAGGAAGUGGUAGGGAGGUUGCUUCUUUUGCGCCUACCACAAUCUCUCUGGGCUCCCUGAGAGGCGGCUGUCUCCAAGGCUGCCUCUCGCUCUUUUUCUACUUCCCUCCAUGUGCCCUGGCGACGCUGCUCGCGCCGGGGUCUUUGGAAGUAAGGGAAGCACCACUCAACCUGCUCAGGCCUUUCUACAUUGCUGAGACUUGGAUUACAGUCCUGCCUCAACUGGGAUUACAGGCUCAUCAGCAGAGCAGACGAGCAGACCAUUUAUUAGCUUCAGGGAAAUACGAAGAGGCUAUUUAUUGUCACAAGAAGGCUGCGGGUAAAUUGUCUUUUUAAGAAAUACUGAUUGUAAAAAUGAAGAGCAAUUUGUUUUUCCCAGUAUCUCUGACCACUUUAUUUAGAAUGAAAAUCACAACAGUAGUGUUUGUUGUCCUGCAUACACAUGUUAGAUCAUUCUGCUUAUCACCUA